UACAGAGGUCUCAAGCGUUGUUCGGAUUCAUUGGGCGUAAAGGGUGCGUAGGUGGCCAGGUAAGUCGGAUGUGAAAUCCCGGGGCUCAACCCGGAACUGCAUUCGAUACUGCCCGGCUUGAGUACUGGAGAGGAGAUUGGAAUUUACGGUGUAGCAGUGAAAUGCGUAGAUAUCGUAAGGAAGACCAGUGGCGAAGGCGGAUCUCUGGACAGUUACUGACACUGAGGCACGAAGGCCAGGGAGCAAACGGG
rnacentral:rRNA from 1 species